rnacentral:rRNA from 1 species
CGAAGAAGGAGACGAGCGCCGAGCGCAACUGACGCCAUCCGGUGUACGGAGCAGGUUGGUGUAGGAGAGUGACGGAAAGAGGAGGUGGUGGUGAGGAGAGGGAAGAAGGAGGGGAGGGACGGUCGGUCCCGUGAGAGGGAGAGGGCGGAGGCAAGCGGCGUCCACUCACGCGCCGAUGCCCACAGACCGGUCGUCGUUGUCAACGCCGUUAAGGCACGGGCCUCUUCGGCGCGCGACCCGCUACACCUCCUGCUGCUGGACGGCGAAGGAGUAAGCCCGCAGGAGGAGACGCGGCAGCUCUCUGCCGGUACCGGCGGGCUACGGGCGCGCGGCGGCCGGUUCCUAGGCGGCCGCAGGUCUGGGGGAGGUGCGGUAGGGGUAGAGCGGUCUCUGGAUGUGGUUCAGGGUAGGUCGCGGGCGUCGAGACGUCGGGCUCGCGAAGUCGGCGGAGCGUGGGCUUCGUCUAUUCUCCUCGAGGGUUGGUGCUCGAAGAGGUCGGGGCCGUUUGGUCGUCCCGCUGGGGAGGAGGAAGAGUGAAGGGAGGAGGAAGGAAAAAAAGGCGGUCCUACGUAGUGGGGAACGAACCGAAGAUGCCGCACCUUCGUCCGCCGUUCGACACCGGGCACGGUCCGCCACCUCUUCCGUUUACCUAUUCGCCACCACCACGGGACCACCACUUCGUCAAAUUAAUUCCUGGCGUGCAUCUUAACAUUGAUUACGUCCCCACAAAUACAUUUUUGCUUCGCAAAAGAGUGCAUGGGUGAAUUCUAUCCUGACGCCUAACUUAAGGGUUUUUGCUUCCCCGAAAAGACGUUUUCACGUCUGCUGCAUGCUGGUCUUCGUUAGCGACCAAAUAAUCAUCCAUCUCUAAAUAAAAUAAACCG